AGCAGCCGCGGUAAUUCCAGCUCCAAUAGCGUAUAUUAAAGUUGCUGCAGUUAAAAAGCUCGUAGUUGAAUUUCGGGAUCGAUAUAUCGGUCGUGCCUCGGUACGUACUGGUGUUUUCGGUUUCUCCCUUCUGACGAACCUUGAUGUCAUUAAUUUGGUGUCUUGGGGAAUCAGGACUGUUACUUUGAAAAAAUUAGAGUGUUUAAAGCAGGCUCACGCUUGAAUACAUUAGCAUGGAAUAAUGAAAUAGGACGUUUGAUUCUAUUUUGUUGGUUUCUAGGAUCGACGUAAUGAUUAAUAGGGAUAGUUGGGGGCAUUAGUAUUCAAUUGUCAGAGGUGAAAUUCUUGGAUUUAUUGAAGACUAACUACUGCGAAAGCAUUUGCCAAGGAUGUUUUCAUUAAUCAAGAACGAAAGUUAGGGGAUCGAAGACGAUCAGAUACCGUCGUAGUCUUAACCAUAAACUAUGCCGACUAGGGAUCGGAUGAUGUUAAUUUUUUUAAUGACUCAUUCGGCGCCUUA
rnacentral:rRNA from 1 species